UGGGGAAGUGGUGCUUGCACCAUGGUAACCAUGGCGGACGGGUGAGUAACGCGUAAGAAACUUGCCUGCGGGACUGGGAUAACAGCAGGAAACUGCUGAUAAUACCAGGAUAAGGUCAUUAAGCUGCAUAGCUUAGUGAUGAAAGGAGACGCCUGCGGAGAGCCUUGCGUCCUAUUAGCUAGUUGGAGGGGUAACGGCCCACCAAGGCGAAGAUAGGUAGCCGGCCUGAGAGGGUGGACGGCCACAAGGGGACUGAGAUACGGCCCUUACUCCUACGGGAGGCAGCAGUGGGAAAUAUUGGACAAUGGGGGCAACCCUGAUCCAGCAAUUCUGUGUGCACGAAGACGGUUUUCGGAUUGUAAAGUGCUUUCAGCAGGGAAGAAGUAAGUGACGGUACCUGCAGAAGAAGCGACGGCUAAAUACGUGCCAGCAGCCGCGGUAAUACGUAUGUCGCGAGCGUUAUCCGGAAUUAUUGGGCAUAAAGGGCAUCUAGGCGGCCUUUCAAGUCAGGGGUGAAAACCUGCGGCUCAACCGCAGGCCUGCCUUUGAAACUGAUAGGCUGGAGUACCGGAGAGGUGGACGGAACUGCACGAGUAGAGGUGAAAUUCGUAGAUAUGUGCAGGAAUGCCGAUGAUGAAGAUAGUUCACUGGACGGUAACUGACGCUGAAGUGCGAAAGCCGGGGGAGCGAACAGGAUUAGAUACCCUGGUAGUCCCGGCCGUAAACGAUGAUUACUGGGUGUGGGCAGGAAGACUGU
rnacentral:rRNA from 1 species